rnacentral:rRNA from 1 species
CGGACGGGUGAGUAACGCGUGGGUAACCUACCUCAUACUGGAGGAUAACACACCGAAAGGUGUGCUAAUACUGCAUAAUACUUUAAUAACACAUGUUAUCUAAGUCAAAGAUUUAUCGGUAUGAGAUGGACCCGCGUUUGAUUAGCUAGUUGGUAAGGUAAUGGCUUACCAAGGCGACGAUCAAUAGCCGACCUGAGAGGGUGAUCGGCCACACUGGAACUGAGACACGGUCCAG